AAAGCGUGCGCAGGCGGUUCGGAAAGAAAGAUGUGAAAUCCCAGGGCUUAACCUUGGAACUGCAUUUUUAACUACCGAGCUAGAGUAUGUCAGAGGGGGGUGGAAUUCCGCGUGUAGCAGUGAAAUGCGUAGAUAUGCGGAGGAACACCGAUGGCGAAGGCAGCCCCCUGGGAUAAUACUGACGCUCAUGCACGAAAGCGUGGGGAGCAAACAGGAUUAGAUACCCGGGU
rnacentral:rRNA from 1 species